rnacentral:rRNA from 1 species
AGUAACGCGUGGGUAACCUGCCUUAUACAGGGGAUAACAGUCAGAAAUGGCUGCUAAUACCGCAUAAGCGCACAGAGCUGCAUGGCUCAGUGUGAAAAACUCCGGUGGUAUAAGAUGGACCCGCGUUGGAUUAGCUUGUUGGUGGGUAACGGCCCACCAAGGCGACGAUCCAUAGCCGGCCUGAGAGGGUGAACGGCCACAUUGGGACUGAGACACGGCCCAGACUCCUACGGGAGGCAGCAUG